AGACCCGAAACCCGGUGAUCUAGCCAUGGGCAGGUUGAAGGUUGGGUAACACUAACUGGAGGACCGAACCGACUAAUGUUGAAAAAUUAGCGGAUGACCUGUGGCUGGGGGUGAAAGGCCAAUCAAACCGGGAGAUAGCUGGUUCUCCCCGAAAGCUAUUUAGGUAGCGCCUCGUGAAUUCAUCUCCGGGGGUAGAGCACUGUUUCGGCUAGGGGGCCAUCCCGGCUUACCAACCCGAUGCAAACUGCGAAUACCGGAGAAUGUUAUCACGGGAGACACACGGCGGGUGCUAACGUCCGUCGUGAAGAGGGAAACAACCCAGACCGCCAGCUAAGGUCCCAAAGUCAUGGUUAAGUGGGAAACGAUGUGGGAAGGCCCAGACAGCCAGGAUGUUGGCUUAGAAGCAGCCAUCAUUUAAAGAAAGCGUAAUAGCUCACUGGUCGAGUCGGCCUGCGCGGAAGAUGUAACGGGGCUAAACCAUGCACCGAAGCUGCGGCAGCGACGCUGAUGCGUUGUUGGGUAGGGGAGCGUUCUGUAAGCCUGCGAAGGUGGCCUGUGAGGGUUGCUGGAGGUAUCAGAAGUGCGAAUGCUGACAUAAGUAACGAUAAAGCGGGUGAAAAGCCCGCUCGCCGGAAGACCAAGGGUUCCUGUCCAACGUUAAUCGGGGCAGGGUGAGUCGACCCCUAAGGCGAGGCCGAAAGGCGUAGUCGAUGGGAAACGGGUUAAUAUUCCCGUACUUGGUGUUACUGCGAAGGGGGGACGGAGAAGGCUAUGUUGGCCGGGCGACGGUUGUCCCGGUUUAAGCGUGUAGGUGUGUGUUCCAGGUAAAUCCGGUUCACUUUAACACUGAGGCGUGAUGACGAGGCACUACGGUGCUGAAGCAACAAAUGCCCUGCUUCCAGGAAAAGCCUCUAAGCAUCAGGUAACAUCAAAUCGUACCCCAAACCGACACAGGUGGUCAGGUAGAGAAUACCAAGGCGCUUGAGAGAACUCGGGUGAAGGAACUAGGCAAAAUGGUGCCGUAACUUCGGGAGAAGGCACGCUGACAUGUAGGUGAAGUGAUUUACUCACGGAGCUGAAGUCAGUCGAAGAUACCAGCUGGCUGCAACUGUUUAUUAAAAACACAGCACUGUGCAAACACGAAAGUGGACGUAUACGGUGUGACGCCUGCCCGGUGCCGGAAGGUUAAUUGAUGGGGUCAGCGCAAGCGAAGCUCCUGAUCGAAGCCCCGGUAAACGGCGGCCGUAACUAUAACGGUCCUAAGGUAGCGAAAUUCCUUGUCGGGUAAGUUCCGACCUGCACGAAUGGCGUAAUGAUGGCCAGGCUGUCUCCACCCGAGACUCAGUGAAAUUGAACUCGCUGUGAAGAUGCAGUGUACCCGCGGCAAGACGGAAAGACCCCGUGAACCUUUACUAUAGCUUGACACUGAACAUUGAGCCUUGAUGUGUAGGAUAGGUGGGAGGCUUUGAAGCGUGGACGCCAGUCUGCGUGGAGCCGACCUUGAAAUACCACCCUUUAAUGUUUGAUGUUCUAACGUGGACCCGUAAUCCGGGUUGCGGACAGUGUCUGGUGGGUAGUUUGACUGGGGCGGUCUCCUCCUAAAGAGUAACGGAGGAGCACGAAGGUUGGCUAAUCCUGGUCGGACAUCAGGAGGUUAGUGCAAUGGCAUAAGCCAGCUUGACUGCGAGCGUGACGGCGCGAGCAGGUGCGAAAGCAGGUCAUAGUGAUCCGGUGGUUCUGAAUGGAAGGGCCAUCGCUCAACGGAUAAAAGGUACUCCGGGGAUAACAGGCUGAUACCGCCCAAGAGUUCAUAUCGACGGCGGUGUUUGGCACCUCGAUGUCGGCUCAUCACAUCCUGGGGCUGAAGUAGGUCCCAAGGGUAUGGCUGUUCGCCAUUUAAAGUGGUACGCGAGCUGGGUUUAGAACGUCGUGAGACAGUUCGGUCCCUAUCUGCCGUGGGCGCUGGAGAACUGAGGGGGGCUGCUCCUAGUACGAGAGGACCGGAGUGGACGCAUCACUGGUGUUCGGGUUGUCAUGCCAAUGGCACUGCCCGGUAGCUAAAUGCGGAAGAGAUAAGUGCUGAAAGCAUCUAAGCACGAAACUUGCCCCGA
rnacentral:rRNA from 1 species